UAAAUGUUUAGGGUUUAAGGUUUAGUGUUUAGGGUUUAGGGUUUAGGGUAUAAUGUUUAUGGUAUUUGAUAAGUGUGUAUUUUGCAUGUUUUGAGCAUCCAUUUGUCAUCACUUUAGCAUCAUAUCAUCACUGUUUUAUACCAUUUCUCAUCAUUUGUCAUCACUUUACAUGUUUAGGAUAGCUUUGCAUGCAUGUUGCAUAUUUGUGUUGAUUUCAGGUGAUUUGGAGCUGUUGACGAGCUAACUGGAAGAAGCUGACCUGAUCAUGUCAAACCACUCGACCCCAAAGUCGAGUAGGAUCUUCCAGAUCUCAAGAGACCACUCGACCCCCAGGUCGAGUAGAGGGCUUCUCGAUUUCAUCACAUCACUCGACCACGAGGUCGAGUGUCUUCAUCCCCAUCACUUGACCAUCACUCGACCACGAGGUCGAGUGUCUUCACUUCCAUUACCUGAUCAUCACUCUACCAGGAAGUCGAGUAUCACCAUCACCACCACUCGACUGCAUACUCGAUGACAAGCUUCAGAGUCUUCUUCAUUCCGCACUCAACUAGACACUCGAGCACAAGAAAGAAAAGAAGACUCCAGCUAUUCACUCGACCUCUCACUCGACCACAUGGGUCGAGUACAGUUCUUAAUUCGUCCCAUUACUUUGUCAUUUUAAGUAUUAGGGUUUCGGAAUAUUUGGCUAUAAGUAGCAUGUACUUCACAUUUUCGCAAACAAGUUUUUUU
rnacentral:sRNA from 1 species